rnacentral:misc_RNA from 1 species
UUGAGUAGUGAGCUGCCGGAAAUUAAAUGUGGACAUCUGAAAAUGACUCACCAAAAUGGAAUAGCUCUGAAAAAACACCUCUGUGUCGAUACGUUGAAUACCCAAAGUAGCUAGGUAUUGCCAAAAGAGGAUAGGGAUUUAUUCUUGGGAGAAGGGCUCUAGGCAAUAGAUAUUUGACUUUUCUGCAAUUGGCACAGUUUCCAAUAAAUUUUCAAAAAAAGCAUGAAUCGAAGAUGAAGUCCCAGCUUGAUGUUCAAUCACCGGUGGUUUGCUAAAAAAGGUAUUUUGAGUUAUGGUUUAACUAGAAACUAGGUUUGAUGUGUUAUUUGGGCUAGUGGUUUGGUUCCCUUUUGUUUUUGUAGGGUUCCCGGCCAGCAUGUUAUUAAUAAGAGGGAAAUUUGGGUUGGUAAGUUUAUUGGCGAAGGGAAGGCUUCGGGUGGAUAUUAUUAUCAGUAAGGGGGGUGUUUGGGUAUUGUUGACCAAGGCACUACUGUAUGGCAGUAGGGAGUUAAAUGUGAGAAUAUUUGUUAGGGCUGGGUGAUGGUAGAAUGAGAAAUUUUAGAAGUGUCUUUCAGGGUAGGCUCGAGAUCUUUUGGGUACAAGGCUGUAGACAAGGAAAGUUUAGUGGGGGGAGAAGGCAUGAUAGAUGCUUCAAUAUGGUGUGUCCUUAGAGAAGGGAUAGAAGUGGGAAUCUGUGGUUUAAGAUUCCUAGUAAAGGAAGGUGCUUUAAGCCAGGGACCAUACAUGGUUUUGGUAAUUGGGUUUGCAGAGGAAGAUGGUUACGUCUGAAUAGUUUUGCAAGUCCUAUUCAAAUGACCUAUUAUCCCACAACCGUAACUAAAUUCUAGUAGUUUCUCAAACUUAAAAUGAUGUCUCCAAUGAGUUGAGCAUUUUUUACAGUGAUCUAGUUUAGUGGUAGUCCAUAGGCAUGGACCCAAAGAGGUGAAUGAGUGAAGAUCAGCUCCUCUAGCAACUUGUCUAGUGGCCAUUCUCUUAUGGAGAUAUGCUGAUUUUGUAUAGACCAAGGUCAGUUCUCCAACACGUAUUUGGCAUCAACUUCAUGGUCAAAGGUGAAAAGCAGAAUUUUGUUUCUAUUGGCUGUUACUUGGAAGGCACAUUGCGUGAGCCAAGAUUUUUCUCAAGUUGCUCGAACAGUAUGAACAUUGAGGUUCUUUUCUGUAGUAACUUUCCCUCCUAGCAUUUUGUUUUGCUGAUGUUGCCAUGUCCCAUAUUCUGGUACAGUUGUUAGUUUGAGUAUUGUAUCUCUGCAGUUUAGAUUUUUGCUUUUUGAGUACGUGCAGUCACGUUUGUCUCAAAAUUAUGCAUGGUGAUGAGCAAUAAGUGAUGGUAGUAAAGAAGGACAGAGGAGGUUAAGGGGAAUAAAUGAGAAGUAGAUAGGGGAAAGUAUUAUUAAAAAGAUGAAGGAAGAUGGGGACGAAGGGAAAAACAGUAAAAAAGAAGGAGAAAAGAGAUUUAAUGGAUAAAGAAACAUUGAAAAUUUAAUCGGAGAUUGAAGGAAGAUAGGCUUCCUAGUUUCCAUAGCCCAGAGCCGGAAAGAGCACCAUUUCUCUUGGUCAACCACUUUUGUUUUUACCAAAUAUAUGGUGAACUAGGAAAGAAACAGCAUAAGUUUCAGAUGUUGGGUUUCGGUUUUAGCAUGCUCUAUUUAAGAAUUCGAAUCAAAAUUAUAAAUGUUUGAUUCUUAGGAAUCAGACUUGGAAUUAAAUUUCAGUUUCGAUUUAAUUGUAAGUAAUUUUAGUGUGAUUUUGAUUUUAGUCUAAUUUUAAUUUUAAUUUGAGUUUCGAUCUAAAUCUCAAUUUUUACAUAAAAG